GACGAACGCUGGCGGCGUGCUUAACACAUGCAAGUCGAACGGAAAGGCCCUGCUUUUGUGGGGUGCUCGAGUGGCGAACGGGUGAGUAACACGUGAGUAACCUGCCCUUGACUUUGGGAUAACUUCAGGGAACUGGGGCUAAUACCGGAUAGGAGCUCCUGCUGCAUGGUGGGGGUUGGAAAGUUUCGGCGGUUGGGGAUGGACUCGCGGCUUAUCAGCUUGGUGGUGGGGUAGUGGCUUACCAAGGCUUUGACGGGUAGCCGGCCUGAGUGGGUGACCGGCCACAUUGGGACUGAGAUACGGCCCAGACUCCUACGGGAGGCAGCAGUGGGGAAUAUUGCACAAUGGGCGGAAGCCUGAUGCAGCAACGCCGCGUGCGGGAUGACGGCCUUCGGGUUGUAAACCGCUUUCGCCUGUGACGAAGCGUGAGUGACGGUAAUGGGUAAAGAAGCACCGGCUAACUACGUG
rnacentral:rRNA from 1 species